GGCAUGGCUACAUGGUCAUGUGAUGGAUGGGCGUGGCCAUAUGGUUGGCAACCCAAAUUUAAGUGGUCCUCACUUAAUGACCAGGUGCUCGCUGAGUGGCCAAUUGCUUAGCAAGUGCUUUUUACCAGUUUUCAAGGCCUGGGGAGGCCCAGGCAAGGCCCGGGCAGGUGGCCAUGUGGCUGGCAACCCAAAUUUAAGUGGUCCUCACUUAAUGACCAGGUGCUCGCUUAGUGGCCAAUUGCUUA